rnacentral:tRNA from 1 species
GGCCCCGUAGUUCAACGGAUAGAAUAGAAGUUUCCUAAACUUUUGAUGUGGGUUCGAUUCCCGCCGGGGCUACUA